UGGUGUUGUUCACCCAAGAUUUAUUUCAAUCUGGUUUUUUGUAUCAACCUUAAAAUAUUGUUUACAAAUGCAUGUACGGUGUGGAUUCAUCACAAACAUCAUGGUGGGGCCCAUAGAGCCCUACCAGAUCCAAUGAUCAAGUAGCGUUUUUUAUUUCACGGUAAAUGUGUGUGAGUUUUGCAUUUGCUUUAAAUUUGUGGUGACUCGUUUAUAGAAAUAAUGGUAAUGAUAUAGGGUUAUCCAAACCAACUAAAUAAUGGUUCUAGCUGUAGAUGGAUAAUAUGUAUAUAUUUUCUGAUAUAAAACUAUCUUAACCAUCUAGUAAAUGGUCCCUUACAUGUACGACUGUUAAUAUGGUGUAUGUUAUAAAUGAUAGUAAACGCACAAUAUUCGGAUCUGAAAGUAUUUUCUUUCUUUGUUUUACACCAAAAACAUCCUAACCCUCAUUCUCUCUCUCUCACUCUUGCUGUUUUUGCUGCCCGACGUCUCAAUUUCCCGCAUUCACGGUGCAGACAGUCUCUCUCAAUCUCUCUCAUUUAGACAUUUCUCCCCCUCCAAAAACCCUAAAACUAUAAGAUUCAGCAGCAACAAAGGAAGGAUGCCUCUGAAGUUCGACCCAUCUCAAGUGGUGGACAUGUAUGUCUGUACCACAGGAGGAGAAGUAGGCGCGGUGAGCUCACUUACCCUGAAGAUCGGGCCGUUGGGGCUGUCCCCUAAAACGAUCUACAGCAGGAGAUCGCUGAUGGGGAUGUUGAGGUCCCGACAGAGUGAGCCAUCUAUGGAGAAUUGGAGAUGAAGGAACUACGCAUCGAACUAAAUGAUAAAUUAUUAGAGAUGGAACGACUGCAAUCUGAGUUGAUCAGAAGAGACUUGGAAGAAGAAACAGAGGAACCUGCUAAGAGUAGUUUAAAAACUGUUAUUGCGACCUUAGAGAAAUAGAAUGUUAAUCUUAAGACAAAGAUCAUCCCAGAAUUUGUACCAUUUUUUUUUACUGUUCAGAAGAAGAGAUGGAAAGGCGCCUUUUAAAUAGGAAUCAAGUGGAAGCCUUAGCAGUUCAAUUGACUCACUAGGAAGGUGAGAUGCUUUAAGAAAAAACCGAAGUGAAAAAGAUAGCAAAUUUUCCUAAGCAG